GGCCCUUUAGCUCAGAUUGGUUAGAGCAGGUGACUCAUAAUCACUUGGUCGCUGGUUCAAAUCCAGCAAGGGCCA
rnacentral:tRNA from 1 species